UACAACUUUCAACAACGGAUCUCUUGGCUCUCGCAUCGAUGAAGAACGCAGCGAAAUGCGAUAAGUAAUGUGAAUUGCAGAAUUCAGUGAAUCAUCGAAUCUUUGAACGCACCUUGCGCCCCUUGGUAUUCCGAGGGGCAUGCCUGGUUGAGUGUCAUG
rnacentral:rRNA from 1 species